rnacentral:rRNA from 1 species
UACGUAGGUGGCAAGCGUUGUCCGGAAUUAUUGGGCGUAAAGCGCGCGCAGGCGGCUUCUUAAGUCUGAUGUGAAAUCUCGGGGCUCAACCCGAGCGGCCAUUGGAAACUGGGAAGCUUGAGUACAGAAGAGGAGAGUGGAAUUCCACGUGUAGCGGUGAAAUGCGUAGAUAUGUGGAGGAACACCAGUGGCGAAGGCGACUCUCUGGUCUGUAACUGACGCUGAGGCGCGAAAGCGUGGGGAGCAAACAGG